UACACACGCUCACUUUUCCAACCUCCUAUACAAACUGUGCGGUCCUUGAGGCUUAGGAUAGACUCCGCAGAUGCGUUCAGCUUAUACUGAGAAUGCGGGAGCACAUCAUGACAAGAGGCUUGUGAACCUUGAAUAUUAUAGGACGCAGGAACACAUGACAGGAGGCUUGUGGUUACAGUGACACACGGCGACGUCCUAAUGCUGCUGCUGCUGUUGGUGCUGAUCCUCCUCCUCCAUUCUGCCCAAGCGGUUCCCGCAACACACGUCACCGCUCUAUUUUCACCUUCAAAUUUUAACUAAAUAAAGCAAAAAUCAGCAUAUGUUAA